rnacentral:rRNA from 1 species
GACGAACGCUGGCGGCGUGCUUAACACAUGCAAGUCGAACGGAAAGGCCCUGCUUUUGUGGGGUGCUCGAGUGGCGAACGGGUGAGUAACACGUGAGUAACCUGCCCUUGACUUUGGGAUAACUUCAGGAAACUGGGGCUAAUACCGGAUAGGAGCUCCUGCUGCAUGGUGGGGGUUGGAAAGUUUCGGCGGUUGGGGAUGGACUCGCGGCUUAUCAGCUUGUUGGUGGGGUAGUGGCUUACCAAGGCUUUGACGGGUAGCCGGCCUGAGAGGGUGACCGGCCACAUUGGGACUGAGAUACGGCCCAGACUCCUACGGGAGGCAGCAGUGGGGAAUAUUGCAGAAUGGGCGGAAGCCUGAUGCAGCAACGCCGCGUGCGGGAUGACGGCCUUCGGGUGGUAAACCGCUUUCGCCUGUGACGAAGCGUGAGUGACGGUAAUGGGUAAAGAAGCACCGGCUAACUACGUG